CUAGCUGUAAACGAUGAGCACUGGGUUGAGGGGACUUCCACAUCCUCUCGGCCGUAGCGAAAGCGUUAAGUGCUCCGCCUGGGGAGUAUGGCCGCAAGGCUGAAACUCAAAGGAAUUGACGGGGGCUCACACAAGCGGUGGAGGAUGUGGCUUAAUUCGAGGCUACGCGAAGAACCUUAUCCUAGGCUUGACAUGGUUGAGAAUCUCCUUGAAAGAGGAGAGUGCCCUUCGGGGAGCUCUUUCACAGGUGC
rnacentral:rRNA from 1 species